rnacentral:rRNA from 1 species
CAGCCGCCGCGGUAAUACGUAGGGUGCAAGCGUUAAUCGGAAUUACUGGGCGUAAAGCGUGCGCAGGCGGUUUGUUAAGACAGAUGUGAAAUCCCCGGGCUCAACCUGGGAACUGCAUUUGUGACUGGCAAGCUAGAGUGUGGCAGAGGGGGGUGGAAUUCCGCGUGUAGCAGUGAAAUGCGUAGAUAUGCGGAGGAACACCGAUGGCGAAGGCAGCCCCCUGGGCCAAUACUGACGCUCAUGCACGAAAGCGUGGGGAGCAAACAGGAUUAGAUACCCCAGUAGUCCCUGUCUCUUAUAC